UGUAACGGGGCUAAACCAUGCACCGAAGCUGCGGCAGCGAACGUAUCACCCAAGACAACUUUACGGAGUUGACGAUUGACGGAGCGAAGCGACGUCAAAGCGUUCAUUAAAGUCGAGUUGGCUUAGGGAUACGUUCGUUGGGUAGGGGAGCGUUCUGUAAGCCUGUGAAGGUGGCCUGUGAGGGUUGCUGGAGGUAUCAGAAGUGCGAAUGCUGACAUAAGUAACGAUAAAGCGGGUGAAAAGCCCGCUCGCCGGAAGACCAAGGGUUCCUGUCCAACGUUAAUCGGGGCAGGGUGAGUCGACCCCUAAGGCGAGGCCGAAAGGCGUAGUCGAUGGGAAACGGGUUAAUAUUCCCGUACUUGGUGUUACUGCGAAGGGGGGACGGAGAAGGCUAUGUUGGCCGGGCGACGGUUGUCCCGGUUUAAGCGUGUAGGUGUGUGUUCCAGGUAAAUCCGGUUCACUUUAACACUGAGGCGUGAUGACGAGGCACUACGGUGCUGAAGCAACAAAUGCCCUGCUUCCAGGAAAAGCCUCUAAGCAUCAGGUAACAUCAAAUCGUACCCCAAACCGACACAGGUGGUCAGGUAGAGAAUACCAAGGCGCUUGAGAGAACUCGGGUGAAGGAACUAGGCAAAAUGGUGCCGUAACUUCGGGAGAAGGCACGCUGACACGUAGGUGAAGUGAUUUACUCACGGAGCUGAAGUCAGUCGAAGAUACCAGCUGGCUGCAACUGUUUAUUAAAAACACAGCACUGUGCAAACACGAAAGUGGACGUAUACGGUGUGACGCCUGCCCGGUGCCGGAAGGUUAAUUGAUGGGGUCAGCGCAAGCGAAGCUCCUGAUCGAAGCCCCGGUAAACGGCGGCCGUAACUAUAACGGUCCUAAGGUAGCGAAAUUCCUUGUCGGGUAAGUUCCGACCUGCACGAAUGGCGUAAUGAUGGCCAGGCUGUCUCCACCCGAGACUCAGUGAAAUUGAACUCGCUGUGAAGAUGCAGUGUACCCGCGGCAAGACGGAAAGACCCCGUGAACCUUUACUAUAGCUUGACACUGAACAUUGAGCCUUGAUGUGUAGGAUAGGUGGGAGGCUUUGAAGUGUGGACGCCAGUCUGCAUGGAGCCGACCUUGAAAUACCACCCUUUAAUGUUUGAUGUUCUAACGUGGACCCGUGAUCCGGGUUGCGGACAGUGUCUGGUGGGUAGUUUGACUGGGGCGGUCUCCUCCUAAAGAGUAACGGAGGAGCACGAAGGUUGGCUAAUCCUGGUCGGACAUCAGGAGGUUAGUGCAAUGGCAUAAGCCAGCUUGACUGCGAGCGUGACGGCGCGAGCAGGUGCGAAAGCAGGUCAUAGUGAUCCGGUGGUUCUGAAUGGAAGGGCCAUCGCUCAACGGAUAAAAGGUACUCCGGGGAUAACAGGCUGAUACCGCCCAAGAGUUCAUAUCGACGGCGGUGUUUGGCACCUCGAUGUCGGCUCAUCACAUCCUGGGGCUGAAGUAGGUCCCAAGGGUAUGGCUGUUCGCCAUUUAAAGUGGUACGCGAGCUGGGUUUAGAACGUCGUGAGACAGUUCGGUCCCUAUCUGCCGUGGGCGCUGGAGAACUGAGGGGGGCUGCUCCUAGUACGAGAGGACCGGAGUGGACGCAUCACUGGUGUUCGGGUUGUCAUGCCAAUGGCACU
rnacentral:rRNA from 1 species